AGGGUAAUUUCUGGAUUUUAUGGUAAAUUUAACUUUUUAAGAAACUGACAAGCUACUCUUCAAAGAAGCUAUACCAUUUUACAUUCCCACCAGCACU
rnacentral:pre_miRNA from 1 species